rfam:Oryza brachyantha chromosome 7, whole genome shotgun sequence.
AUACCUUUCUCGGCCUUUUGGCUAAGAUCAAGUGUAGUAUCUGUUCUUAUCAGUUUAAUAUCUGAUAUAUGAGGUAUAUCCUCAUGUGAUAUUAAAUUUAUUUUUUUAGGGGAGGACUGUCAUCAUAGUGGCUUGCCGCUAGAACACUCUUGUGUUGCCUUGGUGUUGCACUAUCGUCGAGGCUUGGCACACCCCAA